rnacentral:lncRNA from 1 species
AAAUUCUUAUGAAAAUCUUGUUUCUUCUGCUUGUAGAAGCUGGUCUUUCCUUCAUAUCACCUCUGGCACAAGGAAUGGGGUGUGACCAGUAUUGAUUCCUGCUUUCUACACUUCAGUUUUUCUAGAAAUAGGGAGAGUCACUGCCUCUUUAUGCAGAUGGUUUCUGGAAGGUGAAAUUUUAAUGUAAACCUUUGUGCGACAUUCCCUUCUGAAUGAGCAAGGAAAGAUGUCUUCUUCUAAGAGUCUGUUGACUUUCAUGGAUGUGGCUAUAGAAUUCUCUAAGGAAGAAUGGGAAUGUCUGGAUUCAGCUCAGAGAGAUCUGUACAGAGAUGUCAUGUUGGAGAAUUACCAUAACCUGGUUUCUGUGGGUGUUGCUGUUUCAAAGUCAGAGGUAAUCUUCUGUCUUGAACAAAACAACGAAUCAUGGAUUGCUGGUAGAGAAGAUACAGAAGGAAAAAAAACAGGUUUGUCAUGUGAUUAUAACAAGAAGAUACUCCCCAAAGGAUGUACACAUGAUUACUUCCAGAACAAAAUAUCACAAAGAUUGGGAUGCAAUAGCCUUUCAGAUCUAUAUCGAAACAAGUUCUCAGAAUAUAGAUUUGAUAGUGUAGAAUAUGAAAUAUAUGAUUAUGUAAAUGACCAAUUUGAAAAGCACAUCGUUUUCAUUUCUGAAAAUUAUCAAGAAGCCCUAACUUCCCCUGAAAGAAGUCAGUC